GAGGCCCAGGCGCACACCCGACACCGCUCUCCCAGAGGAGGACGAGGGCGGGAGCCCGGGCCGGCCCGGGCCUCCCUCCUCCGCGGAGCCCCCCGAGUUGACACAUGCCCGGGUCCUGCUCCCCGGGGUGGGCACUCAGAAUGAGAAACUCCCCGGGGGAGGAUCCUCGGUUCGUAAGGAAGAACCUAAGUACUUCAGCAGGGCCAGAUCUCCACCAGACCUGGUCCCGGAAGGACAAAACACAUCGGGUCCGGUGCCCCGUUUACACACAGGUAAAGAGAAAGGAUCUCAGAAGGAAAAAGCAAUCACAGACUGGGC